rnacentral:misc_RNA from 1 species
AACCACUCACGCCUGGCGUGGUAUUGGGGCACGCGGUCUCCGCGGCCCUCAAAAUUAGUGGCGGUGCCGGUGGGCUCUAAGCGUAGUACAUACUCCCGCUAUAGAGUUCCCCCGGUGGCUCGCCAGAACCCCCAAUUUUUACA